rnacentral:lncRNA from 1 species
GCAGCCCUUGGAUGAAGACAUAGAACUCUCAGCUCCUCCUGCGCCAUGCCUGCCUGGAUACUGCCAUGCUCUCACCUUGAUGAUAAUGGACUGAACCUCUGAACCUGCAACAAGGAAGAGACACCUGCAAUUGUUAUUCUUGGGCAGCACUGGGAAGCAUCCUUUCAUAAACAAAGCACACACUGCCUACCAUAAUUCCAGUGGAUUUCUGAAAGGUGUUUUUAUGACUGAAGCAAAUUCUUUCAAGCUGUUUCUGUGGAAGGAGAAUCAUAAGAAGGAGAGAUGGGAAAUGCUUGCUGAACACCCUGUUAACAAAGAGGUCCCUUUGCUGUUGAGAAAGAAAAUGGUACUGUUGGAGCACAAAAUGGGACCUGAGCAUGGUCUCAUCAGAUUGACCACUGAGAUUAAACCUCACAUUGACUAAUAAUAAAAGAAGCAAUAAAGAAAAGAGAACAAAGUUUGAAGCCAAAGGUCUUCCCAGCAAUGAAAACAGACAGAAUCUGACAGUUUUAAGUAAGGAAAACGCAUAGCUUAUUGCCAUUGUGAGAUGUAUAGAACAAAUGAAAUCCUCAGUGUGUGUGUAUUGUUGACCUGAGCUUGGCCCUGCCAGGGCUUGAUCUGGUGCUGCUUGUAUUCGUGCUAAUUACUGGGCCCCAAGAUCUGGCUACUGCCUUGAAGAGAUCCUCACGUCCACCAAGAGAUGCUAGGUAAUUGCAGGAUGCAGUCUUCUCUCUACAGUUCACCCUACUGCUCCUGCUGUAAGCUAACUAGAUUUAUCCUGCACAAUUAAGGAAAGAUGGACCAUGAGCUCGUGGCCAGGAGAAACAGCAAGCUCCAAAGAAAACAGGAAGCAUCUGUGGGCUCCCAGACCUGGAUAUCGACAGCCUUAGAGUUAGUCAGGACACGAGGCUGUUACUCUCCUUAGAAAAGCUUUCUUUCUAAAGCUUUCUAAAGGAGUUUUGCAUUUCUUUUUGGUUUUUUGUUUGUUUGUUUGUUUGUUUUGUUUUUCGAGACAGGGUUUCUCUGUGUAGCCCUGGCUGACCUGGAACUCACUCUGUAGACCAGGCUGGCCUCGAACUCAGAAAUCUGCCUGCCUCUGCCUCCCGACCAAGUGCUGGGAUUAAAGUCCUGCACUACCACUGCCCAGCUGAGUUUUGCAUUUUUAACCAUCUCCUUGCUGUUAAUUUUUGACCUGCAAUACAUUUGCCAGAGAUAAUAUGUAUGUUUUAGAUGGCCAUAUUGUGUCUGUCUGCUGUACUGUGUUGUGUGUAAUAUAUAAUUACAUAUGUCCUGUAUUGUGAUAUAUAAUUACAUAUGUAAUAAGUAAUAUUUUAGCAACUUCUGUAUGUUCACAAGAAGAAAUUUAAGGCAUGAAGAUACUGCUUACUGUUACCUAAAGGACCCAAUAAAAACCCAGAAACAGGUCCCAGAUAAACAUCAGCAGCACAGGACUGGUACUG